AGAGUUUGAUCCUGGCUCAGAUUGAACGCUGGCGGCAUGCUUUACACAUGCAAGUCGAGCGGCAGCGCGGGGGCAACCCUGGCGGCGAGCGGCGAACGGGUGAGUAAUGCAUCGGAACGUGUCCCGUAGUGGGGGAUAACCCGGCGAAAGCCGGGCUAAUACCGCAUAUGCUCUACGGAGGAAAGCGGGGGAUCCGCAAGGACCUCGCGCCAUGGGAGCGGCCGAUGUCCGAUUAGCUUGUUGGUGGGGUAAAGGCUUACCAAGGCGACGAUCGGUAGCUGGUCUGAGAGGAUGAUCAGCCACACUGGGACUGAGACACGGCCCAGACUCCUACGGGAGGCAGCAGUGGGGAAUUUUGGACAAUGGGGGCAACCCUGAUCCAGCCAUGCCGCGUGCGGGAAGAAGGCCUUCGGGUUGUAAACCGCUUUUAGUCGGGAAGAAAAGGCCAGGCCGAAUACGUCUGUUCUUGACG
rnacentral:rRNA from 1 species